rnacentral:rRNA from 1 species
CCUACGGGUGGCAGCAGUGGGGAAUAUUGGGCAAUGGGCGCAAGCCUGACCCAGCAACGCCGCGUGAAGGAAGAAGGCUUUCGGGUUGUAAACUUCUUUUCUCAGGGACGAAGCACGUGACGGUACCUGAGGACUAAGCCACGGCUAACUACGUGCCAGCAGCCGCGGUAAUACGUAGGUGGCAGUCGUUAUCCGGAUUUACUGGGUGUAAAGGGUGCGCAGGCGGUCUGUUAAGUCAGCGGUCAAAGCCCGGGGCACAACCCCGGCCCGCCGUUGAAACUGGCAGUCUCGAGUUGGAGAGAAGUAUGCGGAAUGCGCGGUGUAGCGGUGAAAUGCAUAGAUAUCGCGCAGAACUCCGAUUGCGAAGGCAGCAUGCCGGCUCCACACUGACGCUGAGGCACGAAAGCGUGGGUAUCGAACAGGAUUAGAUACCCUGGUAGUC